ACGCAUCUCCAGGCAGCCCGCCCCCUCGCAACAUCCGUCACCUGACCCUGCCAUAUCAGGAACCGCCGCGGUCCAGCUCGCGUCCCUGCUUCCCUGUCCCCCUUCCUUUAUUCCUCGCUCCCCACGCUGGGGAUUCUUCCUUUCUCCAAACCGGAUUAUUUAAAAGAGAAAAAGAAAGAAAAAAAAAAAGCAAAUUUAUCUCAUGGGUCUAUCCGCCAUUCAGGAGGCUGGAUGUCAGUUUUUAAAGAAAUGGCGCUAUGCUCCACUUCUCGAUUUGGGAAACGAGCGAAAUUAAAGGAAACUGCUGCGACAUCUGGACACUGCGUGGCGCUGGCGCCGCUGGAGCGGCGGGCCCCGCGCCGGACCAGGACUCCCUCAGAAUUUACGGAACAUCCAGGCUCCAUGCUGAGGCUGCUUGCCGCUCCACUGUGACAGAAUGAAUGCGCUUUCUGGCUCUUCACAAGGCUAGCUCCUACUCCUUCAGGGCGCUUCUCAGUUUUAUAGGGGAAGUCUGGAUGCUGGUGGAGCAGUGAGAAAAAAGAACUUAUUUUACCUCUGACUUGAGCACUGAAAAGAUACACCUUCACCACUGUUGCAACUCCAUACUUCUAAGAACUGCCAGAACUACUUUCCAAUGACUUCUUUCUACCACACUUCUCCUCCUCAGUGUCAGAGGAUGAAAGCACAUGAUGGUAUCUGAAGCAAGAAGAUUGAAGAAUUGCUGGCUGCUAACCCAAGGCUUGGAUUAGAAGAAGAUUGCAGAGGUUCUAGUGGUUUGAGGAGAGAAGCCAAAGAGAAGAAGUACAGAGCCUUAAGGGGUUAAGAACCGGGGAGGUAAACUGACUUUCUUUUGGUAUAUGAGGAUUAUAAGAAUUAUAAGAAGACUUAAUUGGAAUUAAUUGACCACAGACAUUCCAAAGGUGGGAUUAGUCAUAACAAAGAUGUCUGAGGGUCUGAGGCGGGAUCUGGCCCAGUCAUGUGUGGGUGAGCUCACUGUGUGGGAACUGGGACCAUAAAGGGUCUGAACAUGGGCCCUCUCCUCUAUGCAGGAUGGAGGAUCAGACCUCUUUUCCCUGGGGUGGUCUCAAGAUGUGUUGAGUGGCCACAUGCAGGAUAGGUGUCAUUUAACAUCUGAUUUCUAGCCUCACGAUAAACCUGGAAGGUGGGCACAGCAAUAAUGAUAAUAAAAUAAUGAUAAUAAAAUAUUUGCCUUUCUUCUAUCCCUGGAGUUGUGAAGAUUCAAUGCGAUCGUUUGUGGGAAAGCACUUUAGCAACUGUAAUCACUAUGUGUAUGCUGAGUUUUAUUGUUACCCCACCUUUGAUGUAUUUCUCUCUGUGCUUUUCCAUGUAACUGUGACAUAUUCCCUAAGAUAAUAAGGGCUUCCCUCUGACAAAGCCAAGAUUCUUUAUUUAUAGUGUUAGGUUGGCACCUGGGCUGAUUCUCUUUAGUGUUUAUGUAGUCUGGAUGUGGACUGGCAUCUUUCCCUGGACUCUGAGUAUCUUCCUCUGCAGCUUCUCAUGGCUAGAAGUUCUAUCUGUGUCCUUCUGUUACAAAGCCCAGACUCGUAGGCCACCCACCAAGUUCCUCACUCCAGUCUGAAGGAUGCCUCCAGAUCCUGGCUCAUUUGCAGAACAGAAUUGACUGACACACCCUAAGCAGGGAUGCCAAUCUAGUCUAGUUUUCUAGAUACUUCUUGAUGGUUUGAUAGAAAGGCAUCCAACGGAAAGUGGUACUAGACUCUGAGAACUACAGCUUUACAAUGUCCAAAGUCUUCUAGACUUUCUUGGAGAGAGGCAGAUAUGAUCCUAACCAAGAAAAAGGCAUUCCUUGAUUAAUACCCUGACUCCCUUUGAAAUUUAACCAAGACUGUACUUGACUUUUUAGACGUCAGAUUUUCUUGGAAGCAGAAAGAAGCUCCUGUGAUGGAAUAGACUUUAUUUUUGUGUGUGUCGGGGUGUGUUAAUUCCCAAGUAAUUUGUUUGCUGCAUUCUAUCGUCACUUUUCUACUGAGUUAUUUUUUUCUUUUUCAUUACUUGGGAUACAGAGACUGCUCUGCAGAUGGACUAGUGAGCUGCGCCUACCUUAAUUGUUCAGCGCAGUACAACGCACUUGGUCAACUAUUAAGAGGGGCACAAAUUAUUUUUAGUAAAAUGUGAGUCAGUCUUGGGAGAAAAAACUAAGCUAUACGUUUCCUUUACUCACUUAGUUGACAACACUCCAGAGAACUGACUAGAAGGAGAAGGUAUUCUUCUAUUCAGUAUCUGUUCAUACCCCAUCUCUUCAUACUGGGCAAAAGGGCCACUUUAUAGACUUCAUGUAGGAACUGCCUUAGGAGCACACUCUGGACACAGAAAUCUCUGAACUAUCACUGAUUUUUUUUAAGGCUUUUUUAGGCUUUCCUGGAAGGCUAAUUACCCCAGUGCCUUCUUUCUUUGAUAGCUCAUAUUGAAUUCUCUCCAGCUUUCUGAUUUUACCCAUUUGAAUCAACCGCAAGUUCUUUUCUUUUUUUGUGGUACGCGGGACUCUCACUGU